GGAGAGGUGUCCGAGCGGCUGAAGGAGCACGGUUGGAAACCGUGUGUUCGGGGUAACCCGGACCGGGGGUUCGAAUCCCCCCCUCUCCGCCA
rnacentral:tRNA from 1 species